ensembl:lncRNA serine-rich adhesin for platelets-like
UGUGGAAACCAGGUGAGGGGAAUAAUUUGAUUGGCAGUGAGGAUGAACCAGGAUCUGAAAUGAUAAGAGAAUUACUGACAAGUUCAGUGUGCCAAAUAGUUCCGACUCGCUCACAGUCAACACAGGCCAUGGCUCCGUCACAAGUUUCUGGUAUGAAGAUGAGGAAUCUUCUUUUUGGAGUUAUUCUUGGACUUCUUGCUGUUGUCUACUCAACACCUGUUAAUACUGUGACCCAGAUCUCCGCCAUAGCUGAGGAUGAAAUUAUCAGAGAGGCCGUGACGGACGGGUUCCUCGUGGAAAACUUUUUCCUCCCUUCACUCACAACUGAAUCGUCCAAAAUAAACACGACCAUUCAAGCAACUCAGCAGUCAACCUCCAACUCCAAAGAGAGUGACAUGACUGAGGACAGUGCUAUGGGGGUGACCAACUACAAGUCCACGACCUCUGGGUCCCUCGAUUUGGCAACCACAACUCUGAGUGUUUCACAUGCUCACAGCUCUACCUCCACAGUCUUGCCAUUAAGGGACACCAAUUCAGAUUCAACCACCACCCAAAGCCCUCAGUCUAGCUUUAGCUCUUCAUCAGUGCCAAAUGAAGUCGAGUCAAGCAUCACUCCAGACCACAUCUCACUUUCUCAAACUACUAAUCACCCUGUCUUCAGCUUUGACUCCCUGAGCACCCAGAGUUCUGAAUCGGGGUCUGGAGAUAGAGAGAUGUUUGGCCCGUCCUCUUCUACAAUCCCCAGUAUGACCACCAGCUCCAACACAAAAACUAGCUCUGAAUCAUCAACCUUCACGACUGCUUUUAUCACACAAAAGGCUCCAGGAAUGUUUGGAGGAAGCGAAGGAUCAGGAUUCGACGAAUUGUCUGGAUCAGGAAUGGAGACCCUACUAGUGCCAACCACUACUACAAUGGCAAAAAAGCUAAGAAAGUUGGAUUUGGAAAGUUUCAAUCCUGUUCAACAACUAGUGGAACAACCUGCCACUGCAGGACAACUGAACAAAGGACACCAUACACCAGGCUGGAUCAUCAUCGUUGGUUUUAUUGUUGGGCUGGCAGCACUGGUAAUGCUCUUCGUUGCCAUCGCUACCAGAGACAAGUGGAACGGACCAAGCCAGUCAUCCCAGUUAGAGACCAAAACUAACUUCUUGAACCAGCAGAGGGAGGUAGAGAUGGAGACAUUCCUGCACAAAGACAAGCCCAGGGAGAAUGGAAAGGCGGAAGAGUACACAGUCAUCCCCCUGGACGAGCUUCCAGAGAAACAUUCAUCACAGUGAGGUUCAGACACAGACUCUCACGAGGUUUGAGACUCAUCACAGAACCAUAAGACUGUGUUUGAAGCAGAUGGAUUUGAUCAGAGGAAGAAAACUGUCAGGGCUUUUGAGCGAAAAGGUUUCUGUGAACUUUCACAAAUCUGAGCCCAGUCUGAACCACAAUCAUAGACUGGCUUUUCCUGCUGACUAGGAAAAACUCUACUUGUACCUUUACUUUGAAAAUACAGCAAUACUUGUGUUGGUGCAUUUAUUGCCAUUGUGUUAACUGAAGAAUACUGUUUGAUUCAUAAAUGCCAUUUAUUUCAAAAAAUGACUUUACAGUGUUUUAUUUCCAGUUUUUUUGUAAAUAAUUAAUGUUUUUUUUUUUUAUAUCUCACAGGUCUGUUAGUGGACAUAAGAACAUUAUUCUGUGAAAAAGUGUCUUUGUUUUAAUAUUGCUUUCUUUGUAAUAACGUUAUGUUGUGGAUUGUAAUUUAUAUUAAGCUGCUCUGUUGUUUCAUUAAAGAUGCUCUGAGUACUGAACAGUGCCCGGCUCACUAACUCAUUGACAACCUACGCCGCACUGGUAACAUGCAAUUAUUGUUUGUUCAUAUGCUGUAAGACACGUGCCCUUCAUCUGUGAAAUAAACACAAUGGUGGCUCGUCAUCAAUAAACAUUUAUUUGUUUCCAUUAAUAUUUACACACAAGUAUUAAAACAUUUACACACUUUCAGUCCAUUUG